UACGAAGGGGGCUAGCGUUGCUCGGAAUCACUGGGCGUAAAGCGCACGUAGGCGGACUCUUAAGUCGGUGGUGAAAUCCUGGAGCUCAACUCAAGAAAUGCAUUCAGGACUGGGCGGCUAGAGGACCGGAGAGGAUAGUGGAAUUCCCAGUGUAGUGGUGAAAUACGUAGAGAUUGGGAAGAACACCAGUGGCGAAGGCGGCUAUCUGGACGGUUUCUGACACUAAGACACGAAGGCCAGGGGAGCAAACGGG
rnacentral:rRNA from 1 species